GUGGGUAGUUUGACUGGGGCGGUCUCCUCCUAAAGAGUAACGGAGGAGCACGAAGGUUGGCUAAUCCUGGUCGGACAUCAGGAGGUUAGUGCAAUGGCAUAAGCCAGCUUGACUGCGAGCGUGACGGCGCGAGCAGGUGCGAAAGCAGGUCAUAGUGAUCCGGUGGUUCUGAAUGGAAGGGCCAUCGCUCAACGGAUAAAAGGUACUCCGGGGAUAACAGGCUGAUACCGCCCAAGAGUUCAUAUCGACGGCGGUGUUUGGCACCUCGAUGUCGGCUCAUCACAUCCUGGGGCUGAAGUAGGUCCCAAGGGUAUGGCUGUUCGCCAUUUAAAGUGGUACGCGAGCUGGGUUUAGAACGUCGUGAGACAGUUCGGUCCCUAUCUGCCGUGGGCGCUGGAGAACUGAGGGGGGCUGCUCCUAGUACGAGAGGACCGGAGUGGACGCAUCACUGGUGUUCGGGUUGUCAUGCCAAUGGCACUGCCCG
rnacentral:rRNA from 2 species